AAGUGGAAUUCCAUGUGUAGCGGUGAAAUGCGUAGAGAUAUGGAGGAACACCAGUGGCGAAGGCGACUUUCUGGUCUGUAACUGACACUGAGGCGCGAAAGCGUGGGGAGCAAACAGGAUUAGAUACCCUGGUAGUCCACGCCGUAAACGAUGAGUGCUAAGUGUUAGAGGGUUUCCGCCCUUUAGUGCUGAAGUUAACGCAUUAAGCACUCCGCCUGGGGAGUACGGCCGCAAGGCUGAAACUCAAAGGAAUUGACGGGGGCCCGCACAAGCGGUGGAGCAUGUGGUUUAAUUUGAAGCAACGCGAAGAACCUUACCAGGUCUUGACAUCCUUUGACAA
rnacentral:rRNA from 1 species